rnacentral:rRNA from 1 species
GAUGAACGCUGGCGGCGUGCCUAAUACAUGCAAGUCGAGCGAACAGACGAGGAGCUUGCUCCUCUGACGUUAGCGGCGGACGGGUGAGUAACACGUGGAUAACCUACCUAUAAGACUGGGAUAACUUCGGGAAACCGGAGCUAAUACCGGAUAACAUGUUGAACCGCAUGGUUCAACAGUGAAAGACGGUCUUGCUGUCACUUAUAGAUGGAUCCGCGCCGCAUUAGCUAGUUGGUAAAGUAACGGCUUACCAAGGCAACGAUGCGUAGCCGACCUGAGAGGGUGAUCGGCCACACUGGAACUGAGACACGGUCCAGACUCCUACGGGAGGCAGCAGUAGGGAAUCUUCCGCAAUGGGCGAAAGCCUGACGGAGCAACGCCGCGUGAGUGAAGAAGGUCUUCGGAUCGUAAAACUCUGUUAUUAGGGAAGAACAAAUGUGUAAGUAACUAUGCACGUCUUGACGGUACCUAAUCAGAAAGCCACGGCUAACUACGUG